UACGUAGGGUCCGAGCGUUGUCCGGAAUUACUGGGCGUAAAGAGCUCGUAGGUGGUUUGUCGCGUUGUUCGUGAAAACUCACAGCUCAACUGUGGGCGUGCGGGCGAUACGGGCAGACUAGAGUACUGCAGGGGAGACUGGAAUUCCUGGUGUAGCGGUGGAAUGCGCAGAUAUCAGGAGGAACACCGGUGGCGAAGGCGGCAUCCUGGACCGGCAUUGACGCUGAGGCGCGAAAGCCAGGGGAGCAAACGGG
rnacentral:rRNA from 1 species